GGAGUUGUGGCUCAGUGGCAGAGCACUUGUCUUGUACAUAUGAGGCAGUGGGUUCGAUCCUUAGCACCA
rnacentral:tRNA from 1 species